UCAGUCAUGACAGAGCAGCUCCUAUGCACUUGAAUGGAGAAAUACCAAAAUCUCAAAAUCAGUUGGUCAAGAUUACGAUCAUAAAACAUAUUUCAAAUCAAAAAUAAAAUCUGACGAUACUGGUAUCAUAUAUGGACAUUCUUUACCUCUUAUUACGCUAAAAACGCAAUUUUUCCCGGCGUGUAUAGCUAAUGCGCAUGCGCAUUAUAGAGUUGAUUGACAGGCAAUGUCAUGUUUCUAAAAGGUGAUUGGCUCUGUGAGGACGGACUUCCUUUCUACAUUCGCUGUCUGUGCUCAGAGCUCCAUGAACGUUCCAAUUUCUCUUAAUCAUUUUAAUAGCUGUGACUCGUCUCUGCUCAAUAUUAUGUGGUUUAAUUCACUCAAGCUAGCUUGCUAGCUAAUAACCUUAGUAGAUAACGCUCAAGUCAAACGUGUGGUCAUGGCAGGACUAUAUACCAGCUGCCUCCGCUGUCACGAAGAAUCUUACACAAGCCACAUUGUGUCCAUUGCAUGGAGCAUGUCACACUAAAUUCACCAGGAGCCACAUCCCUCCACAGGUAUUUGAGGAGCGAUCUCAGGAACAUAAGUAUGGUGGUGUUCCAGAACAGCCUCAUAAACUGCAUAUAGUGACACGGGUUAAAAGCACAAUGCGACGACCCUAUUGGGAAAGAAAUGUUGUAAAGAGGUUGAGGCUUAUGAAGGUGGGCUGUGGUCUAUGUAUCCCUGCAUUGACCUUUGAGAAAUGUAAAACUACACUAAAACUUAUAAUUUAGUAAAUCUUGUUUAUUGUCACUAGGCACAUGUACCCCGUAUCCACAAGAACACCCUCUCCGUAAACAAUCAGCUAAAAAUAAUUAAGCAUCUUGUGAAGUUGGGCAUUUGCAUUUCAUCAUUUUAUUUAUAGAAAUUGUUUAACUUGAUUUUACACCAUCCUAUUUAGCUAUGUAAAUGAUAUCCUUGUGUGCAGGAUUCAGCCCAUCAAGCUCCCUUAUGGACUACCUGCAGAGGAGGAUAUGGCUGACACAUAUGUGACUAGCAGAGGGGAGCUGCUAGUGAAAUGUCUCCUUAAACCGCUUGACCAGAAAGCCAUUGAGAUUUUUUGGCCUACCGUCUGUGUUGUUUGUCUUUG